rnacentral:rRNA from 1 species
AGUGAACGCUGGCGGUAGGCCUAACACAUGCAAGUCGAACGGCAGCACAGUAAGAGCUUGCUCUUACGGGUGGCGAGUGGCGGACGGGUGAGGAAUACAUCGGAAUCUACUUUUUCGUGGGGGAUAACGUAGGGAAACUUACGCUAAUACCGCAUACGACCUACGGGUGAAAGCAGGGGAUCUUCGGACCUUGCGCGAUUGAAUGAGCCGAUGUCGGAUUAGCUAGUUGGCGGGGUAAAGGCCCACCAAGGCGACGAUCCGUAGCUGGUCUGAGAGGAUGAUCGGCCACACUGGAACUGAGACACGGUCCAGACUCCUACGGGAGGCAGCAGUGGGGAAUAUUGGACAAUGGGCGCAAGCCUGAUCCAGCCAUACCGCGUGGGUGAAGAAGGCCUUCGGGUUGUAAAGCCCUUUUGUUGGGAAAGAAAAGCAGCAGGUUAAUACCCCGCUGUUCUGACGGUACCCAAAGAAUAAGCACCGGCGAACUUCGU